rnacentral:rRNA from 1 species
UGGGGAAUUUUGGACAAUGGGCGCAAGCCUGAUCCAGCAAUGCCGCGUGCAGGAAGAAGGCCUUCGGGUUGUAAACUGCUUUUGUACGGAACGAAACGGUCCUGGUUAAUACCUGGGGCUAAUGACGGUACCGUAAGAAUAAGCACCGGCUAACUACGUGCCAGCAGCCGCGGUAAUACGUAGGGUGCAAGCGUUAAUCGGAAUUACUGGGCGUAAAGCGUGCGCAGGCGGUUUUGUAAGACAGGCGUGAAAUCCCCGGGCUUAACCUGGGAAUGGCGCUUGUGACUGCAAAGCUGGAGUGCGGCAGAGGGGGAUGGAAUUCCGCGUGUAGCAGUGAAAUGCGUAGAUAUGCGGAGGAACACCGAUGGCGAAGGCAAUCCCCUGGGCCUGCACUGACGCUCAUGCACGAAAGCGUGGGGAGCAAACAGG